rnacentral:rRNA from 1 species
GAGUUUGAUCGUGGCUCAGGAUGAACGCUGGCGGCGUGCCUAACACAUGCAAGUCGAACGAAGCAUGCCGGAGGAAGUUUUCGGAUGGAAUCCGGGAUGACUGAGUGGCGGACGGGUGAGUAACGGCGUGGGUAACCUGCCCUGUACGAGGGGGACAACAGUUAGAAAUGACUGCUAAUACCGCAUAAGACGCACAGGUACCGCAAUGGUCCGGUGUUGAAAAACUCCGGUGGUACAGGAUGGACCCGCGUCUGAUUAGGUAGUUGGCGGGGUAACGGGCCCACCAAGCCGACGAUCAGUAGCCGACCUGAGAGGGUGACCGGCCACAUUGGGACUGAGGACACGGCCCAAACUCC